AUGACAGAAAACUCUUCCAAAGGAGCUGCUUUCCAGUUCAAGCAAAGCUCCAGGGGUCAACUCUGGAGGAGAAUGUCUCUAGGACCACCCUGAGCCUUGGUCCGGGGCUGGGCCAAGCAUGAAGGUCUAGGGGCACCGGGUCAAGGUGCUCCUAGCAUGGCUGGGCUUGGGGCAGUGGCACCCUGAGGAAGCUCUGUCCUCACUAAGCUCUCUGCACCUAUGCUUCCCAUUCCUGUGAUAACAAGGCAGGGCAUCAGCAGAGCUACUUGUCUCCAGCACCUUCCCAAGAACUCAAGAGGACACAGCCAGCUCCUGCACUGUCACACUAUCCUGAUGUGCCUGUGGAAGCUGUUCCCCACACCAGAGCCCCAGAGGAGCCUGCACUGACACCGACGCAUGGAGUUGUACAGAAGGAGAAUUCAUUGAAGCAACAGACAUGACAAGUUCAGAAUUGCCCUUGGUAAAUUGUGCACCUACUCCAGAGAUUUGACUUGGUUCCCAGCUAUAAUCCCUCUGGGCACAGGCUGCAGGAAGCUGCUGCCAACCAGGAGACCUCCCCAGGUGCCUUCGAGGUGUGAAAGCGAAGAGGGAAAAAGGACCCCAAGCAUCUUCCACCCCUGGAGCUACCUUCACCCUGAGUGAUUCUGUGGGGUGUUCUGGAUUCAGGGACAACAUUUCCAAGCUGGACAAGCUGAAUGAAGGAGAUGGUGGAAGGUUUGGAGCAGCAGCAGGACAAGCUGUGUGCAACGAUGGAAGGUGUGGGGAAGGAACAGGACAAGCUGCAUGUGACAGUGGAAGGUUUGGAGCAGGAAAAGCUGCAGCGAUUUGCCAGAAACCCGCACGUCGCGGCCACCAGCAGCAGCCUUCCCGUUCCCUCCCCUAAAGCAGAAGCGGUCAGGCUGGUGAGGCUGUGCCCGCGGCCCCGGGCAGCUCAGCCGCCCCGAGGGGAACCAGCGCAACAUGGCGCCCGGCGCGGCUGAGGGGAGAACCGCGGAGGCUCCGUGGGCAGCGCUGAUUGGCUGAGGAGGCGGUGGGCGGGGCCUGCGCCUCGGCAACAGGGAGGAUGCCUUACAGGGCUCUCCUCCUUCCCCGUGGGGUCCCUCCCAUGGGAGUUCUUCUGGAACCUCUCCUUGAGUCCUUCCCACAAGCUGCAAUUCCUCAGGAGCUGCUCCAGCAUGGGCUGCCCAGACUCGGGCUGUUUCAGGAACAGUCACCUCCCCUGGCACAGGGUCCUCCAGGGAUGCUCUGCUGUGUUCCUCCAUGGGGUGCAGGGGGACAGCUGCCCUCUCCCCAUGGGCUGCAGGCAAACUUCUGCUUGGUCACCUCCUUUCCCUUCUUUCCUUACCAACCCCAGGAUCUCCACUCCAGCACUGCUCAAAAAACCACGCCAGAACCAAACCCAUGACAGGAUGUUAUGGGAGAGUGUC